AUAAAAUAAAGUUUAGAUAUAUGUUUCUAAUUUUUGUAGAGUUCACAGCACUGAUUUUUUUAUAGGUUCCAAGGUAUCUGGUGUCGUUGCAGGUUCUCAUUUGUGAAAAAUUAUGUACAUAAAUAUAUUAUUAUAUAGUCAUACUCCAGUUUAAUAACACUUGUUAUUUCUGGAACUUUUCUUAUAAUAAUUGGUAAUUUUUGUAUAUAAAGAGAGAGAGGUUGCAAAUCAAGAAGCAAGGAAACAGGAGAGAUAUAUUGUGAUGAAAAGGAGGAGAGACAUGGAGAUGGAGCUGAAGAUGAGAUCAGAACUAAGGUCUGCCAUUGAAGAGUUCUCUAAGGAGGCUUUGAUAGUUCAGCCUGUUGAUGAUCAAGUUCAUAAUGCUGCAGCACAUAUUCCCAUCAAACCAUUUCUUGUUGUCUGCAAUAUGGUUCUUCAAGUUCUUGAUAAGAUUGGCCCAACAAUGGCUGUUUUGAGACAAGACAUAAAUCAGAAUAUACAGAGACUGGAAAAGUUUCAGGAAUCAAACCCUUCAUUAUAUUCAAAUGUGGUUGAGAUCCUAAAGAAAGAGAAGAAUGAAGUCUCUGCAAGACAUGUUACCAGCUGCAGCAGAGCAUUUGUAUGGCUUACCAGAUCUCUGGAUUUUACAGUGACAUUGUUGCAGUUAUUACUGAAGGACUCUGAACUUAAGAUGGAGAAAGCAGUAGAAGAAGCAUAUGUUGUCACUUUAAAACCAUGGCAUGGAUGGAUCACUUCAACGGCUUACAAGUGUGUCUUCUGCAAAUUUGCGCAAGUUGCCUCUGGUAGCUCUCAAACUAGUGCCUGAUACAAAAGCUUUUCUUGCCAUUCUCAUGUCCAAUGAUGAAGACAAUGACAGACUUAAGGAAGAAAUGGAGAUGUUUAUUUCACUACUUGUGCCUUUCCUCGACAAAAUCCACUUAAUUUCGAUAACAUUCAACUUGGAUAAUAUGAAGUCUCCCUGAAGAUGCUAGCGAAAGAAGUGAAAGAAACCACAAUGUUUUAGAUAGUUCAGUUUUGCUUGUAGUGUAUAUCCAUAUUAUCCUUCGUGCUGUACAUAACUAUGUGAAUCACCUUCUAAUUAGCAAUAGUUUACAAUGUAAAAAGUCCGUAAUGCAAUGUGAAACGUUUGCUCAGUCGAUCA